UACGUAGGGUGCAAGCGUUAAUCGGAAUUACUGGGCGUAAAGCGUGCGCAGGCGGUGAUGUAAGACAGAUGUGAAAUCCCCGGGCUCAACCUGGGAACUGCAUUUGUGACUGCAUCGCUGGAGUGCGGCAGAGGGGGAUGGAAUUCCGCGUGUAGCAGUGAAAUGCGUAGAUAUGCGGAGGAACACCGAUGGCGAGGGCAAUCCCCUGGGCCUGCACUGACGCUCAUGCACGAAAGCGUGGGGAGCAAACAGG
rnacentral:rRNA from 1 species